rnacentral:rRNA from 1 species
UACAGAGGGUGCAAGCGUUGCUCGGAAUCAUUGGGCGUAAAGGGCAAGUAGGUGGUCUCAUUUGUCUUGUGUGAAAUCCUUGGGCUUAACUCAAGAAGUGCGCAAGAAACGGUGGGACUCGAGUUCUGGAGAGGGUCGUGGAAUUCCCGGUGUAGCGGGUGAAAUGCGUAGAGAUCGGGAGGAACACCAGAGGCGAAGGCGGCGACCUGGACAGAUACUGACACUCAACUGCGAAAGCGUGGGGAGCAAACAGG